rnacentral:rRNA from 1 species
AGAGUUUGAUCAUGGCUCAGGGUGAACGCUGGUAACGUGGAUACCGGCAUGCAAGUCGAGCGCCCCGCAAGGGGAGCGGCAAACGGCAUAGUAACACGUGGGUACAUACCCUAAACUGGAGCAUAGCUCGUCGAAAGACGAGGUAAUUCUCCAUAAUCUCGCAAGAGUAAAGUCGCAAGACGGUUUAGGAAUGGCCUGCGGCCUAUCAGAUAGUUGGCGAGGUAAUAGCUCACCAAGUCUAUGACGGGUAGGGGGCGUGAGAGCGCGACCCCCAUGAAUGGCACUGCGACACGGGCCAUACUCCUACGGGAGGCUGCAGUCGAGAAUCUUCCGCAAUGGGCGAAAGCCUGACGGAGCGACGUUACGUGAAUGAUGAAACCCUUCGGGGUGUAAAGUUCUUUUAUGUGGGAGGAAGUUAUUGACAGUACCACAUGAAUAAGGGGAUCCUAAUUCUGUGCCAGCAGCCGCGGUAAU